rnacentral:rRNA from 1 species
UACGGGGGAUGCAAGCGUUAUCCGGAUUUAUUGGGUUUAAAGGGUGCGUAGGCUGUGAGGUAAGGCAGCGGUGAAAUGCCCCCGCUCAACGGGGUGAAGUGCCAUUGAUACUGCCUUGCUGGAAUGCGGAUGCCGUGGGAGGAAUGUGUGGUGUAGCGGUGAAAUGCAUAGAUAUCACACAGAACACCGAUUGCGAAGGCAUCUCACGAAUCCGCGAUUGACGCUGAUGCACGAAAGCGUGGGUAUCAAACAGG